AUGCAGCCGGGCCGCCACUCGGUACAGAAGCCGCGAGUUUGGUUGCCACCAACAGGAGAAGAAGCAGCAAAAAUAAACUGUGACGGAGCCAUCUCUACUCUUGGGAAGAAAGGAGCAGCAACUGUAGUGUGCCGGGACAGAUCAGGUAAAUUUCUAGGGGCAUCAGCGGUGGUUUUUGACGGCUUGAUCAACCCGCCAAGUUUAGAGGCGCAAGCGUGCAGCGAGGCCCUGGCCCUUGCACGAGACUUGAAUCUGCAGAACAUGGAGAUUGCCUCAGAUUGUUUAGAGGUGAUUACCAACAUCAACAGAGAAGGCUCGCCAGUUUAUGCGCCAAUAUUGCAUGAAAUCAAUCUUUCCAAGAACUUUUUUACUUCUGUUUUUUUUCGUUUCGAAAGUAGGCAGAAUAAUUUUGAGGCCCACUCGGUAGCAAAAGGAGUUGCGUCUCUGCCGGUGGGCCGCCAUGUAUGGCUAGGGGUUAUACCAAACAUUGCUUGUAUUCCAGACUUGAUGAUCCUUGAAUAA
rnacentral:rRNA from 1 species